rnacentral:rRNA from 1 species
GACGAACGCUGGCGGCGUGCUUAACACAUGCAAGUCGAACGGAAAGGCCCUGCUUUUGUGGGGUGCUCGAGUGGCGAACGGGUGAGUAACACGUGAGUAGCCUGCCCUUGACUUUGGGAUAACUUCAGGAAACUGGGGCUAAUACCGGAUAGGAGCUCCUGCUGCAUGGUGGGGGUUGGAAAGUUUCGGCGGUUGGGGAUGGACUCGCGGCUUAUCAGCUUGUUGGUGGGGUAGUGGCUUACCAAGGCUUUGACGGGUAGCCGGCCUGAGAGGGUGACCGGCCACAUUGGGACUGAGAUACGGCCCAGACUCCUACGGGAGGCAGCAGUGGGGAAUAUUGCACAAUGGGCGGAAGCCUGAUGCAGCAACGCCGCGUGCGGGAUGACGGCCUUCGGGUUGUAAACCGCUUUCGCCUGUGACGAAGAGUGAGUGACGGUAAUGGGUAAAGAAGCACCGGCUAACUACGUG